rnacentral:rRNA from 1 species
UUAAAUUGAAGAGUUUGAUCAUGGCUCAGAUUGAACGCUGGCGGCAGGCCUAACACAUGCAAGUCGAACGGUAACAGGAAGCAGCUUGCUGCUUUGCUGACGAGUGGCGGACGGGUGAGUAAUGUCUGGGAAACUGCCUGAUGGAGGGGGAUAACUACUGGAAACGGUAGCUAAUACCGCAUAACGUCGCAAGACCAAAGAGGGGGACCUUCGGGCCUCUUGCCAUCGGAUGUGCCCAGAUGGGAUUAGCUAGUAGGUGGGGUAAAGGCUCACCUAGGCGACGAUCCCUAGCUGGUCUGAGAGGAUGACCAGCCACACUGGAACUGAGACACGGUCCAG